GACGAACGCUGGCGGCGUGCUUAACACAUGCAAGUCGAACGGAAAGGCCCUGCUUUUGUGGGGUGCUCGAGUGGCGAACGGGUGAGUAACACGUGAGUAACCUGCCCUUGACUUUGGGAUAACUUCAGGAAACUGGGGCUAAUACCGGAUAGGAGCUCCUGCUGCAUGGUGGGGGUUGGAAAGUUUCGGCGGUUGGGGAUGGACUCGCGGCUUAUCAGCUUGUUGGUGGGGUAGUGGCUUACCAAGGCUUUGACGGGUAGCCGGCCUGAGAGGGUGACCGGCCCCGUUGGGACUGAGAUACGGCCCAGCCUCCUACGGGAGGCAGCAGUGCGGAAUGGUGCACAAUGGGCGGAAGCCUGAUGCAGCAACGCCGCGUGCGGGAUGACGGCCUUCGGGUUGUAAACCGCUUUCGCCUGUGACGAAGCGUGAGUGACGGUAAUGGGUAAAGAAGCACCGGCUAACUACGUG
rnacentral:rRNA from 1 species